AGGAUGAACGCUGGCGGCGUGCUUAACACAUGCAAGUCGAACGAUGAUCCGGCGCUUGCGUCGGGGAUUAGUGGCGAACGGGUGAGUAACACGUGAGUAACCUGCCCUUAACUCUGGGAUAAGCCUGGGAAACUGGGUCUAAUACCGGAUAUUGACGCCCUUGCCGCAUGGUGGGGUGUUGAAAGCUUUUGUGGUUUUGGAUGGACUCGCGGCCUAUCAGCUUGUUGGUGGGGUAAUGGCCUACCAAGGCGACGACGGGUAGCCGGCCUGAGAGGGUGACCGGCCACACUGGGACUGAGACACGGCCCAGACUCCUACGGGAGGCAGCAGUGGGGAAUAUUGCACAAUGGGCGCAAGCCUGAUGCAGCGACGCCGCGUGAGGGAUGACGGCCUUCGGGUUGUAAACCGUCUUUCAGUAGGGAACAAGGCCGCACGUUGUGUGGUUGAGGGUACCUGCAGAAGAAGCGCCGGCUAACUACGUGCCAGCAGCCGC
rnacentral:rRNA from 1 species